rnacentral:rRNA from 1 species
AGAGGACUUGCGGUACGGUCGCCCCCGCUCCCCUGGUCGCUCCCGCGGGCGGCCCGGGAGCGAACCCUAGGCGCCGCCAGCGAGCUCCCUCCGUCCCCUCCUCCCCUUGCCGCCGCCGGGCGAACCCCGCGCGCCUCGGCGGCGGCGGGGUCCUUCCCUCCUCCAGCUCGGGCAGGGGCGGUGCGGGCCGUCUGCUCCGGCAGGAGCUCGGCUUGGCGCCCGCGCUGGCAUGGGCGGCCGCAUUCGGGAAGGCGCGAGUGGGCGGGCGGGGUGGCCCGUCUGGGCGUGCGGGGCGCGGCUCGGGCGCGCGAGGCCUCCGGCGGCGUGGAUGUGGUGCCUUGCGGGGGCUCAUGGUCAGGGGUGACGGCAGGGGGUCGGAUCUGGGUCCCUCGCUGCGUGCGUCCUGCCCGUGUCCGAGCUGGUGGAGCUUGAGGUGCAUCGGUGGUGCUUCGCUGGCCUGGCUGGAUCCGGGCGGAUCUGGCCCAUGGUGGUUCGGCUUGGGGAGGUGGUGUUGGUGGCUGGUGGAGGCGGGAGUGGUGGAGGCUGGUGGCGGUGAGUGUUGCUGGUGGUGCGAGGUGGGAAUACUGCGGCCGGUUUUCGAUCUCCCCCACCUUUGGUUAGUGCUGUGGCACUUUGGAUCUGGUCUCCGGCAGGUGCACGGUGGCGCGCGUGGGGCGUGUUGGUGCUCCUGAUGUUUGGCUGCAGCCUGGAACCAUGGUGGUUCCUGGCCUCGGGCAGUGCUCCUCUGCUCCUCGCCGGCAUGGUGCUCGGUUAGGUUCGGCGGCUCGCGCUGCGUCCGGUGGCCCUGCGUUCGGACGGCCAUUGGUGGAUCCAGUGCCUAGUGCUGAUGUUUGGCCGUCGGCGGUCUCCGCGGGGUGUGGUUGGCUGCGACGGUUCGUCGUGCUUCUUCGUCUCGGAGGGGCCCGAUGGUGGUGGUGCUCAGCUGCCGUCUUGCUGUAGGGAUGUGCUCAAACUCCGGGUGAGAACCUUGCAUUGACUAUGUCGAUGUCAGCGGCAAUGGUGUCUGUGGACAUCGUUUUCCUCGUUGGAGGUGUCGUUGUGGAGCUCCAGCACCUCCAGUACCUUGUUUUGUGGUAUCCGGGUGAAAACCUAAGAUCCGGCUUGUCGGAUGGGAUGACGAUCUUGUGUCCUUGUCGGCACUACCUCCUUGGAGGCGUCAUCUUGGAGACCCAAACGACGGCUUCUGUGCCUGCGUGUGGUUGAGUUUGCAGCGUCUGGUGGUGGUGGUGUGGCCAACUUGGGAUUAGUCGGAGGGUCCAAUGGUGCUGGUGGUGGUGCGACUGGCUUGGAGUCGACGGUGGUUGUCUGGUGGUGUUCUUUGGGGUUUGGUGGCAGUGCCUUGGGCGCCGCAGGGCGGCCAUCUGUUUCCCCCUCGUGAAGGUGUCUCGCUAUGCAUGCUCAAGACUCUCCCUUGGCGGUCGAUGUGUUGCGGCAAGCGUCAUGCUCUUGGUGAUGUCUUGGUUCAUCUUUGCUAUUUGAUGACGCCAGAUACCUCCCCAAAUUGUUAAUCGUUCCAAUCUUCCAUCACGGGGCAUCCAGUCAAGGUUCGUGUUUUUUGCACUCGUUGGUUGUGGAUGCUCCUGAGUUGUGCCGUGGGGCUCGGUAUGCACGGAAUGCGGUGCGUUAGGUUCCUCGCAAAGUCUAAGUAUUGGGAUCCCUCGACGACACCCCACAACUACUUGUGUCUUUCAUAGUGAUGGUCCUUUUAGUCUGCUAGCUAGGUCCUGCCCUUGUUGAGUGUCUUGUUCUUCUCUUCUCCUUGUAACCUUGUUGUACGGUUUUCGGCCCGGUUUCCCUUAUAAACGGGUCAACUUGUUUAGGUUUUCGAUCCGGUUUCCCUUAUAAACUGGAUCACUCUUCUGGCAUAAUGGCCAUUUUGAAUAAUAUAUUCAGGUGGAAGGACUCCUUCCCCGAUGAUUC